UUGUUUUCUGUUUUGAGUGGCUGCCUCCGGUGGUUGAAAGUUUUUAAGUGGGAGUUGUAAUUAUGUUGUACUUUCUUUUAUUUUUCCUCGUCUAAUAAAAAUACGGCAAAAUCUUUCUGCCGCCUUUCGAAAAAAAGUCAUUAGUUUUAUUUUACUCCCAAAUUUCACGUGUGGAACGCUACGAAUUGUUUAGACUUUUAUGACUUGUUUAUUUACUUUGAAGUUUGAACAAAGCACAUGCUCUUGACUCUUGACUCUGGACGUAAAAAAUUAAAAUCUCCAACGAUCUUCAACAUCAGUGGUAACAGACAAAUUCUUCGCCUAACCUCUCCUGUUCCAAUUUGAUUGUGUUGAUGCUAUUCCCAUCUUUAGUUUAACAAUGUUGAACUGGUCAUUAUAUAUUCUCUAUGGCCAUAUC
rnacentral:lncRNA from 1 species